rnacentral:misc_RNA from 1 species
AAGUCGUAACAAGGUUUCCGUAGGUGAACCUGCGGAAGGAUCAUUAAUGAAAGUCUGGGCUCCGGCCCUCUCUCUUCUACACACUUGUGAACUUACUCUGUUGCUUCGGCAGGUUUCUGAAACGUCCAGGUUUGCAAGACCCGGGCUGGAAAGUCAAACUCGAAGCUUCCAACGGGAUCUGAUGGGGACUGAAAGUCUCGAGAGGACGAAAUUGGUCGCUGAAGAGUGCCUGCCAAAAGACCCUUAACAAGCCUUUUUUCUUGUCUGAGUUUGUUUUCAAAAACAAAACAAAACUUUCAACAAUGGAUCUCUUGGCUCUG